GACGAACGCUGGCGGCGUGCUUAACACAUGCAAGUCGAACGGAAAGGCCCUGCUUUUGUGGGGUGCUCGAGUGGCGAACGGGUGAGUAACACGUGAGUAACCUGCCCUUGACUUUGGGAUAACUUCAGGAAACUGGGGCUAAUACCGGAUAGGAGCUCCUGCUGCAUGGUGGGGGUUGGAAAGUUUCGGCGGUUGGGGAUGGACUCGCGGCUUAUCAGCUUGUUGGUGGGGUAGUGGCUGACCACGGCUUUGACGGGUAGCCGGCCUGAGAGAGUGACCGGCGACAUUGGGACUGAGAUACGGCGCAGACUACUACGGGAGGCAGCAGUGGGGAAUAUUGCACAAUGGGCGGAAGCAUGAUGCAGCAACGCCGCGUGCGGGAUGACGGCCUUCGGGUUGUAAACCGCUUUCGCCUGUGACGAAGCGUGAGUGACGGUAAUGGGUAAAGAAGCACCGGCUAACUACGUG
rnacentral:rRNA from 1 species